GGGGACGUUUGGUUCGACAGGAGAUUCAGGUACCAGGAUUGCAGGUCGAGGUGCUAUCGCCCUCGUUAAACUGGUAGCAAAACGUUAAUUGGCGAAAAACACGCCUAUGCAAUGGCCAACUAAAAGUUGACCACAUCUAACCUCAUCUCACCUCGAUGGGUGGGGAUUGGGUGACGAAAUGUCGAGGUGCAGUAUCCCGGACGUCGAUAAGGGAUAACCAAGUUUAAUCGACUGGUCUGAUCAGACUUCGUUGGCUAAAGGCUGAGACAGAUAAGAUUUAAAGUGCCAACUAAGCUUGUAGGAUAUUCUGGGCCGGCUUUCCAUGGACGGGGAGUUCGAUUCUCCCCCGUCUCCACCA
rnacentral:tmRNA from 1 species